AGAGCGGCAGCGCGGGCCCGGGGGGGAGGGGGGGGCAGUUGGAUCGCCGCGCCGCCUCCUGCAACGUGCGCGACCCGGAGCAAGUGGCUGCACCUGAGCCGGAUCUCUAAAAAAGGGAGUCUCGGGCCACACGCCUCGCUGAGCAUCCCAGGCCCUUUUGGAGGCGCCGAAAGAAAGCAGAGGUGCACGGGACAGGAGGAUGCCCCCAGAGCUACCUGCUGCAGCGUAGCUGUGGGGACCACACAGCCAGUUGAAAGCAGAGGAUGUGAGGGAGGACUCCAAAGUGGAAGAAGCCUGAAUCCUCUCCCAGGACAAUCCAUUGAAGUAUCCAACAAGACUGUCUCAGGGAGAAAAUAAACCUGUAUGGUCGUUAGCUACUAAGAGGCUGAACAAAGGCCCAGCAGAUCGGUUCGUUUGUGCUGAAAGAAGCACUGACCCAGCGUCUUCAGGGCUGAGGAGGAGGUGCGGCCAAAAGAAUGGAAAUAAUGGUUAAUAACAGAUGCUGAGAUGAUUCUUCUCACACCCUUGGCCUCUGAGACUCUGCUGAACCCGUCCUCUACAACUUUCUAGCAGAAAUCUCCAGGGAAUGAGCUGAGAAGAACUCCAGAAGAUCUUAACAACAAAUUGCAACAAUCCAGGACUUUACAGUUUAUAAAGCAGAAAGGAAUCCAGGGAACGAGGCAGAUGUAGCCACCCAGUCUGAGACAGCAUUGGAUGGGGGAGCCCCGUGGAGGAACAGAGAAAACAUUUGUGUUGCCAGAGGGAAGAAAGGAAGGACAGCACUGAGCCAUCAAUCAAUGAAUCCUCCUUCUCUGGGAAAUAGCGAGACGGGGGACAGAGAGCAGCUGAGACGUUGGUGUGGUGGAUCUCCUGCCACAUGGAAACGUGAAGGCAGAAAAAAAAGGAUGUUCUCCACCAAUAGACACCUUGACAAAUGUGAGGACCUGGUCAAGGUUCCUCCCCCAGACACAACUUUUUGGCAAAGAUGACAAUUCUUUGAAUUGGAAAGCAGAACUUGAUUUUGAAGGAACGUUUACCAUCAGGCAUAGCUGCAACGAUACUGAUAACCCUCGGGCCACAUUAGAGGUAGAUAAACGGAGACUCAAAUACUGUCCCCAUUAUUGCUUGGAUCACCACAACGACAUCACCUGCCAAGAACACGACACCUUCUGUCCAACAGCAGACAAGACCUGUGUCACUAAAGGACAGUGCAUUGAGGGGCGAUUAGCAUUAUGAAUUUCAAACCUGAUCCUUUAUAAGUUUCCUCUCUUGGUUAUGUGGCAGACUGGGUUUCUCUGGGCUCUGCACUCUCUCUGCUCCUUCCCAUUGUCAACCCUGGAAAGAGAUGAGAAGCCAAAAGAAUGAGAACUCACCGUCGUAAGUAAGCCUCCAGAAUUACCUCUUCUGGAGCAUAGACGUCCCAUAGUCAGUGCUCGCACUUUCCUGUAAAGGAGCACAUGGCUGAGAUUCUCCAGUCCACAAACUUGCAAGUCGAGACCAGCGUUCUCCAAUGGAAACAGAAUGCAGACCACAUACGUAAUUUACAGUUUUCUAGGCCAUUUUAAUGAGCGUAAAAAGAAACAAGUGAAAUCAGUGUUAAUAACAAUUUUACUUGAACCAGUAUUUCCAAAAUAUUAUCAUUUCAACAUGCCAUAUAAAAUUAUUAAUGAAAAAAUGUUUUUAAAUAAAUAAAAAUUUAAAAAAAUAAAAUUAUUUUUUUUUCAUCCUACGUCUUUAAAAUCCGGCAUGUAUUUUAUGCUUACAGCAUAUCUCAAUUUGACCUUGCCACGUUGCAAGUGCUCAACAGCCGCAUGUGGCUAGCUGCCACCGCAUUGGACAGUGGAGGCUUGCGUACCACGUGGUCAGAACUCUGGAUUUUUCUCUAUCCUACUUCACACACAUGGUCUAGUUCUUGGGCUGGCUUCUUCAUGGCUGUGUGAGGACUUCCCAUCAAAACCAGAGCGAUGUAUUUCUAGCUCGCGAUGAACAGGACUGAGACUCUGGCAAACAUCUUCCAAUGUCUCACUGACCCAUAUCACCCUAGACCUGCUGUCCUUGAACCAAUCAUGGGCAAAAGGCACAAGAUUGCCGUGAUCGCAUAGAAUAAUCAGAGGCUUGGUGCUGGCAUCACUUCCUUGAGUCUCACAGCUAUUAAUCAGUAGGGGAGGAAGGUAAUGGAAGUUGAGGCGCCAACCCCAAAGUCUAUAUUAGGGUAGGUUCUGGCCCCCAGGACUACCGUCCAGAGUGCUCAAAAUUUUCUCCGUGAUCCCCGGGAACAGCGAACACAAUUCCUUGGUGUGGCACCUUUAAUGACCUUCCCCACAAAGGAGUGAAAAGCUCAUUAAUAGGCCAGCUCGGGUG